UACAGAGGGUGCGAGCGUUAAUCGGAUUUACUGGGCGUAAAGCGUGCGUAGGCGGUCCUCCAAGUCCGCUGUGAAAGCCCCGGGCUCAACCUGGGAAUGGCAGUGGAAACUAUGGGACUUGAAUCUGGCAGAGGGGGGUGGAAUGCCACGUGUAGCAGUGAAAUGCGUAGAGAUGUGGCGGAACACCGAUGGCGAAGGCAGCCCCCUGGGCUGAGAUUGACGCUCAGGCACGAAAGCGUGGGGAGCAAACAGG
rnacentral:rRNA from 1 species